rnacentral:rRNA from 1 species
GACGAACGCUGGCGGCGUGCUUAACACAUGCAAGUCGAACGGUGAAGCGCUUGCCUUUUUGGUGGGUGUGGAUGAGUGGCGAACGGGUGAGUAACACGUGAGUAACCUGCCCUCUUCUUCUGGAUAACCUCAUGAAAGUGGGGCUAAUACGGGGUAUUCCGGGUCUGUCGCAUGGCGGGUUUGGGAAAGAUUGCGCCUUUGGGUGUUUUCGGUGGGGGAUGGGCUCGCGGCCUAUCAGCUUGUUGGUGGGGUGAUGGCCUACCAAGGCGGUGACGGGUAGCCGGCCUGGGAGGGUGGACGGCCACAAUGGGACUGAGACACGGCCCAGACUCGUGCGGGAGGCAGCAGUGGGGAAUAUUGCACAAUGGGCGCAAGCCUGAUGCAGCGACGCCGCGUGAGGGAUGGAGGCCGUCGGGUUGUGAACCUCUUUCGCCAGUGAAGCAGGCCUGCUCCUGUGUGGGUGGGUUGACGGUAGCUGGAGAAGAAGCGCCGGCUAACUACGUG